AGGACGAACGCUGGCGGCGUGCCUAACACAUGCAAGUCGAACGGGGUAAUUUCUUCGGAGAUUACUUAGUGGCGAACGGGUGAGUAACGCGUGAGAAACCUGCCUUUCAGUGGGGGACAACAGUUGGAAACGGCUGCUAAUACCGUAUGAUGCAUUCGGGACGCAUGUUCUGAAUGCCAAAGAUUUAUCGCUGAAAGAUGGACUCGCGUCUGAUUAGCUAGUUGGAGGGGUAACGGCCCACCAAGGCGACGAUCAGUAGCCGAACUGAGAGGUUGAUCGGCCACAUUGGGACUGAGACACGGCCCAGACUCCUACGGGAGGCAGCAGUGGGGGAUAUUGCGCAAUGGGGGAAACCCUGACGCAGCAAUGCCGCGUGAAGGAAGAAGGUCUUCGGAUCGUAAACUUUUGUCUUCAGGGACGAAACAAGACGGUACCUGAGGAGGAAGCCACGGCUAACUACGUG
rnacentral:rRNA from 1 species